rnacentral:rRNA from 1 species
CCUGGCUCAGGAUGAACGCUGGCGGCGUGCUUAACACAUGCAAGUCGAACGAAGCUGCUAAAAAGAAGUUUUCGGACGGAAUUUUGGUAGCCUUAGUGGCGGACGGGUGAGUAACGCGUGGAUAACCUGCCUUAUACAGGGGGAUAACGGAGAGAAAGUUCCGCUAAGACCGCAUAAGACCACAGCACCGCAUGGUGCAGAGGUAAAAUAUUUAUAGGUAUAAGAUGGAUCCGCGUCCGAUUAGCUAGUUGGUGAGGUAGAGGCUCACCAAGGCGACGAUCGGUAGCCGGCCUGAGAGGGUGAACGGCCACAUUGGGACUGAGACACGGCCCAAACUCCUACGG